CACUUUCUGCUUAACUGUCUUUUCUAGCAAAUACCCCACACACGAUUUUCUUGUGCCCCCAUACACUUCGCUUGCAUGAGUAGGAUAAUCAGUAGGAGUGUUUGGUGGCGCAUGGAUGCACCCUGGUGGUAUGCUUAACUGGAUACCCCCACGCUGCAAAACUGCGCUACUCUGCUUUUUAGGCAGAUUAUAGUGAUAAAUCCGUUUGUAUUGUUUGUUUCGGUGCACCAUGGCCGUCUCCGUGAGCUGGGUUUACCAGUUGCACAAGACCGAUUUGGCGCUGCAUCUCGAGGAAAAUGGUCUGCCCUUGGCGGACACCGAUACCGUCGCCGAGAUGAGGGCGCGUUUGGUUGACUACCUGCGUAAAUCCGCAGGAGCCGCAUCUGAAGUCACGACCAGGCAGCCCCCAGCUGAUUUUCCUUCAAGCGCGCGCGCCUCCUUUCUACCCCUCCCUUGGGCUGUGCGCGGACAACUCUACGAGAAGCCUGCUACGUCUCUGCUUUGCCGCUGCCCCUCCGCCCCCUACGCCGCCAGCCCUUGACUGCUGCGGGGUGAGGAGACUGUUGGACGGCGUGGAGAUCUGGUGACAGACUCUCCGCUGUUCGGACGCCACCGCCGCCGCGGUUCAGCUCUAGAGGUAUUCUCGGCCCGCCAGAAGACGUCUGCGGGAAGGAUGCUGCAGAGUUCCGAUGUCCGCCACUUAGCGCUGAGUGGCUGAGACGAGGAAAAGCGCCGAGCGCUGCCUGAACCCCUUGCAACCUUGUACCGCCAGAAUAGGUCACCUGAUACGGCGCUUAUCGUUUCUCUCUUUCACUUCAGAAAAAAUGGAGGGGGACCUGUCAGCGACACGUCGGACGCGAGUCGCCUGUAUUCUACUUGUGCAGCACCAAGGAGAUCGCGGUCCCCUGUUGGAGCUGCCACCCGUCGCACCGCUGAAACGAACACGUUGCUGCCCCCUCCAGCGGCACGAUCCGGCUAGUUUCAAGUCAUUUCUACAUCGUCUGAAUCAAGGCGUUCGCAAGAUACAAGAAGUUGGCUCAUGUCACAAACACUGAACUUCAACACGACUUUAAGCUCGGGCUCACAGGGCAGAAGACUUCGUAAGGGGUGGGGGUUGAAGCGCCCGCCGCGCUUCUGUGACGUCAUCUCCGUGCCGCAGCCUUCCUUUCCUUCUCCCCUCUUAACCCCUCUCCGCCUCAAGGUGCCAAUUUCCCCUUCCCUUUCUUUCCCCCUAGCCUCUCCUCAAUUGUAGCGACUGCAACGCCAUCUAGCGAAUAGUAUAAAUGAGCGCGUAUAACUUUUAAUUGUCUAUUUCGUGGGUCUCUCUUGGUGGAAGCAGGUCGUCUCUGGCCCGGUCGAGGGGCAGCUCGUCUAGGUAAAAUUCUUCAGGAGACGGAGUUAGUGUGUGCACACGAUGGCCGUGCGAGUAACGUAAAUAUUAAAUAUGCUUGCCAGCCUUGAUUUUCAUGUAGCCAUCCCUUUUGACUUUGACCUUCACUUAAUUUAUUUUCUGUGUAAUAUUUUCUUUUGUUUCUUUUUUCUGCUGGAAGCAUUUGCUUACUCCCUCCUGCAUGUGGUUUUGAUUUUAGUUGCUGCGCGACUUGCAUUGUCGGCAGUGGACUCUUAACUUAUUUCAACGGCAUCCAGACCACGCUUUGAUUGCUUUUGGUUUAGAAGUAAGCACGUUAAGUGCCCGAUGCCGCCCUUGUAUUUUUUUUUUCAUAAGAGCUUUCAGCUCCGUAUGACGUAAUUUUACGCAUCGUUUUGCCUCGAUUUUGCCCUCUUUCUUUUCCUCCCAGCUGUACCCCCGACCGGAGCCAUUUGGUUAAGGCAUACCCCCCGUGAUCUAGCAUAUUUUGUUUGAGCACUUCUCUGUAUUACGCUUACCUAGCCUUGGCAGUGAAUGUCAUCAUGACGAGACCCACUGAAAAUUGUAGCUGUAACAAACCAUGUAACCGAUCCCUCGCUUCUCUCUUGGGCUUGCAUUUCUGUCCGCGGGACUACGCUCUCUAUGAGUAAUAGAUAUUUAAUAUGUUUUUUUCGAGGAGUGCACAAUUAACGUUAUAUUAGGUGUUGGUUUAUUUUGUAGUACAUAAUUCCUUGCCCCUACACGUGUUUGGACCGCUCGUAUAGUCUGUAUGUAUAUUGAGUCAGUUCCUAAAGUUGUUAACAGCAACGUACGUCUUGUGAAUCACGUGUGUAAUGACAUAAUGUUCACUAUGAUUUUGGUCUUCGCUCGCCUCCGGGCCGUAACGUAAUGCGUACGCACGUAUACUUGAAUAUUGGUUUCUCUCCUCUCUUAUAGUGUGUGGUAACUGAGUCAUAAUUUCGCACAGAAAAUGAGAAAAUGUCUAUCCCCAUUGUCAGAGGCGACUGUUUUAUACUGCAUGAUCCAGGGCAUGCCUAGGAAAUUCAACUUGUAACGGAGAGAGAGAAAGAAUAUUAACUUGUUGCUUGUUGCUUGUUGUUUCGUACGACUGUAAGAGAUACGCAGUAGUAGUUUGUUUGUUGAAUCAGAGUACAUUGGGCACAAGGUUCACCCUAGUUUUUUUCAUAAGUAAGGACUCAGUAAAGACAUAAGGAGUGAAAAUCAUUGUGAAGGGAAUAAACUUCAUUAAAUGUAUGCUAAUUUGUAUUUGCUACGCACAUGCCUCUAGCUGGCAUCGAAUCCGUUGACAGUGUAUGUAUAUGUGUUAAGUUUGCGAAAUUAUAACGUUGUUGAGUGCGA